UCGAUUUAUGUUAGAUAUCAAUGGUUCCGGGUCGAAUUCUAGAGGACAGGCGAUUAUUGAGCUUUGAGUUGCUAUUUUCCGAUUCGAGGUAAGUGUUUGAUCUAACUUUUGCUUGAGGGAAUAAGAUUAGGUUGAUAUUUGCUAUGUGCUAUGUGGAGCCAGUGUAUAGGUAUGGUGACGGUUACCUAUGCGCUCGAGUCUAGCAUGACCGUGAGUCAUAUUUGCUAUUAAAAUUGCGAAAGAAGUGAACAAUUAUGCUAAUCACUUGUUAA
rnacentral:lncRNA from 1 species